GUUAUUUCUCAAUAACCGGUUAAUUGUAUCAGCUAUGUUAUUUUUUGCCACCCGUGUCCCGUAGUAAGUACAAGUGUGUUGCAAGUUGAUGGAGUAUGGAGAAAAAGCCAUACAUUGUAUCCGGUGAAGCUCCGGAAUCUGACAGUGGUGGCGAGGAAUUCGCUGUUUCGGAUGCUCCAUACCAACAGGCUGGAACUUCGAGUGCUAGCAACUUGCAAGGCAUAAUUGUCGCAGGAGAAGCGCCCGAGUCGGACGAGGAACGCGAGGAACCUGGUAGUGUGAGCAGCAUCAGUAGUGCUGCAAGUGUUUCUUCAGAAACUUCGCUGACAACAAAUGUGAAAAAAGGCUAUAAGGGAAAGAAAUCGGAAAGCAAAUACAGCUCAUUGCUGCAUAAAAAAUUGCGUGAACGUAACAUUUCACUCUAUAAGAAUAUAUCAGAGUUUGCAUACAGCACUCUCACAAGUGCAGGCAGAGAUCUGAACUUGACAAACCAACAACUUCUCAGAUCGCAGGUACAACUUCAAGAAGCAGCUACAUCUCUUCACGUAUUACAGUCACAUCUCACUCAGCUGCAUACUAAAAUAGCAGCAGUAAGCACUUCUGCCUUUAUACCUCAAAUUUACGUGCAGCAGUGUGAACAGGAAUAACUAUGAUGAAAUAACAGGUGUGAAAACACUCUCUCUCUCUCUCUCUCUCUCUCUCUCUCUGUGUGUGUGUGUGUGUGUGUGUGUGUGUGUGUGUGUGUGUGUGUGUGUGUGUGUGGGGGGGGGGGGGGGGGAGAAUUAAUUUUAGAAGAAUAAGCUGUAUUAACUAACAAGUGCAUGUCAGCUGCUUGAUAAAGAUAUAUUUUUCUUUAUGUUCUUAUGAAAUAGCACCUACGUGUUGUAAUUAAUAAACAUGGUUUCACUGUUGCAAAGAUCUAACAGAUAUGUAAAACACUGACUCUGUAAUCAUAAUACAUAUUUUGCACUUACAGUUUACCAAGAGUUUUCCUAAAACAGGUGUUCGGUUAUGCAUUGCCAAUCAAAGAUCCUGGUAUCAGGUGUGACGCAAAUGUUAUUUCUUUUUGGUGGGAGCUAAUAUCUUGACAUGAUGAAGGUGAUGACAAUUUUCUCGUCUGGACUAGACUGCUGAAAAGAGUUGGACUUAGUACUAUUCUUACAUUGGGCCUAAAAGAUUCUAAUUCUAAAAGUUUACUUAGUAUAUGGUACCCACCAUCAAAUUUGUUAUGUGAUGUGGAACAAAUCCAUUCAGCCACCCAAGGACAAUUGAAGGUGAUUAUGUAGAAAAGUGAAUAUUGGUAAUUAAAGAUCACAUUCUAAAGAUUA